AGCGAACGCUGGCGGCAGGCCUAACACAUGCAAGUCGAACGAACUCUUCGGAGUUAGUGGCGAACGGGUGAGUAACACGUGGGAACGUGCCUUUUGGUUCGGAAUAACUCAGGGAAACUUGUGCUAAUACCGAAUGUGCCCUUCGGGGGAAAGAUUUAUCGCCAUUAGAGCGGCCCGCGUCUGAUUAGCUAGUUGGUGAGGUAACGGCUCACCAAGGCGACGAUCAGUAGCUGGUCUGAGAGGAUGACCAGCCACACUGGGACUGAGACACGGCCCAGGCUCCUACGGGAGGCAGCAGUGGGGAAUCUUGCGCAAUGGGCGAAAGCCUGACGCAGCCAUGCCGCGUGAAUGAUGAAGGUCUUAGGAUUGUAAAAUUCUUUCACCGGGGACGAUAAUGACGGUACCCGGAGAAGAAGCCCCGGCUAACUUCGU
rnacentral:rRNA from 1 species